GGGUACAGAGCUGAAGAUGAUUACGAUUACCUCUUCAAGGUGGUGCUGAUCGGUGACUCUGGUGUGGGCAAGUCAAAUCUGCUCUCCAGGUUCACUCGGAACGAAUUUAGCUUGGAAUCUAAGUCCACUAUUGGAGUCGAGUUCGCUACUCGCAGCUUGAACGUCGAUGGCAAAGUCAUCAAGGCCCAGAUUUGGGAUACUGCUGGCCAAGAGAGGUACCGUGCCAUAACUAGUGCUUACUACAGAGGAGCAGUGGGUGCACUACUUGUGUAUGAUGUCACACGACACUCAACAUUUGAAAAUGUUGAAAGGUGGCUAAGGGAAUUGAGGGACCAUACUGAUCCCAAUAUUGUGGUCAUGCUCAUUGGUAAUAAAUCAGAUCUUCGCCACCUUGUUGCCGUCUCAACUGAAGAUGGGAAAUCCUUUGCAGAGAGAGAGUCCCUCUACUUCAUGGAAACUUCUGCUCUGGAAGCAACUAAUGUGGACAAUGCAUUUGCUGAAGUGCUUACUCAGAUCUACCGUAUUGUAAGCAAGAAGGCUAUGGAGACUGGUGAUGAAGGUGCCGCUUCAACUGUUCCAUCGAAAGGAGAGAAAAUCGACGUUAGUAAAGAUGUUUCUGCUAUGAAGAGAGUAGGGUGCUGCUCAAGCUAGGAGUUUAGUCUGAAUUCAAUUGUUACAUAGGAUGGCGCUGGUUUGUUUUUGCUCCAUCUGUUUUAAUGUACACCAUUAUUAUGUAAAAUUUUCUCAAAGAUUCCCACAGUAGGAGAGAUGGGGAUUGAUUUUUACUUUGAUUUUCUUCAGAGCCUUUCGUUCGACUGUUAUUUCUAGCUGACUGAGAGCUUAAUUAGGAACAAGGUAUUACGCUGCUGCUUUUAAAAUGGUUCUGAGUGAAGUUCGAACCUGCUGCG
rnacentral:misc_RNA from 1 species